AAACCAACAGGGAUUACCUCAGUAACGGCGAGUGAAGCGGUAACAGCUCAAAUUUGAAAUCUGGGUCUUUCAGGCUCCGAGUUGUAAUUUGUAGAAGAUGCUUCGGGUGCGGCUCCGGUCUAAGUUCCUUGGAACAGGACGUCAUAGAGGGUGAGAAUCCCGUAUGUGAUCGGUUGCUUGCGCCCAUGUGAAGCUCUUUCGACGAGUCGAGUUGUUUGGGAAUGCAGCUCAAAAUGGGUGGUAAAUUUCAUCUAAAGCUAAAUAUUGGCCAGAGACCGAUAGCGCACAAGUAGAGUGAUCGAAAGAUGAGAAGCACUUUGGAAAGAGAGUUAAACAGUACGUGAAAUUGUUGAAAGGGAGGCGCUUGCAACCAGACUUGCGCGUUGCCGAUCAUCCGGGGUUCUCCCCGGUGCACUCGGCCUCGCUCAGGCCAGCAUCGGUUUUGGUGGUGGGAUAAAGGCCUUGGGAAUGUAGCUCCUUUCGGGGAGUGUUAUAGCCCUCGGUGCAAUGCCGCCUACCGGGACCGAGGACCGCGCUUCGGCUAGGAUGCUGGCGUAAUGGUUGUAAGCGAC
rnacentral:rRNA from 1 species